rnacentral:tRNA from 1 species
CAGCUAGUGGCGGAGCGGUCAAACGCAUCUCCAUAUCAAGAAGACUGUUGCGGGUUUGAAUCCCGACUGGUUGU